GCCUCGGUAGCGUAGUGGUCAAGACGCUCGCCUGGUAAACAGGAGGGCGUGGGUUCGAUCCCAGUCGAGGCU
rnacentral:tRNA from 1 species